rnacentral:lncRNA from 1 species
GGUCGAGUGGGUUGUGUGGGGCAAGAAUCAGGAAGAAGGAGGUUGCUCUUCGUAAUCCGGCUUGUUUAUCCAACAAACAACAAAACAGGGCAGGAUUGUUCCGAGAUGCCGGAAGGCGGCCUUGAGAAAGCCCGCACUGGACAGAGAGGUCUGCUCAAGAAUGCACAGGGCCUGGGAAAGGCAGAGAGGGCUGGAAGCUGGUGUGAGAACGCAGGGAAGGGCCCGUGCUGCGGCGCUGGCUCCAGAGCGUCGAUUGUGGGCAUUUCUUCCCAGCUCUGUGGUCCAUGAGGUCACUACUCCAGGGCCCCUGCUGUCCACGUCCAUCCUCGUGUUCAUACCAACUCGUAUGUUUGCCACAUGCGUGUGACACGUGUGUGACGCGUGUGCCACUGUACAGGACCCGGAGCGCUAUUUCCAGUGAGAGGAAAACCGGUGACUUUUAACUAGAAGCCGACUUUCGACAGCAGGAGCGUGCCAUGUGCACGCGAAGAGCAGGUCCAGCUGAACAUGGUCUUCCCAGGUGAUGACAAGCAAAAGGGUGCAGUCACUCGGGAAGCCGGCCGGCCACUGUCCACUGUCACAGCAGCCAGGCAAGUGUGGUACUCAGAGCCCCGCAUGCAAACCUCGGGAUACGACGCAGGAUUUUUAAAGGCUGGAUCUGAAAGCCACUAGAUCAUGGGAUUCUAAAAACGUCUGUUCUAAAUUGUCAGCACAAUGCUCAAGGCCAACUGCUCCGUGCCAGGAAAGGGAUCCCCGGAGCACAUGGGCAGGUGCCAGAAGGGCUGAUGAAAUGCUGCAGUUUCGGGCAGUGCUUCCAGGAAACCAGUCCCAUGAGAUUGCUCCCUGUAGCGAGAUGGGCGAUGCCUGCACAAGGCCUGGGGACACUGUCCACAUCCACUGAGGAUGUGACUGGGUCCCUGGAGUGGGAAACAGCAGACCUGCCCAUCGCUGAGACCGUGUCAAACUAAGGCCCAGAGCUCUGGCCUCGUCCUUUUAGGGACAGAGAGUUGUGACUUGGUCUGGGAAGAGAAGCAGGUGGCAAGGUGGGGAGUGACAUCCCUCCCUAGAGAGGGGAAGCCCCACCCCUCCAGCCUCUGGUCCAACAGGCAGCAGUACCAGUCCUCUGAGCCGGCUGCCUCUUCUCACAUCUCUCUCCAGAGUGCGCUUGCCAGCGAAUAAAGGUUUAGAGUAAUCAGGCCCCAAAUAUGGCUUGUGAUUGAUUUACACUAAAAAAUUAUUGUCUGAAAUUCACAUUUGACUGUGCAUCCUGUGUUUUAAAAAAUUUUAUCGAUGUCAUCCUUUUUAAAAAGCAGUUGUAGGUUCACAGCAAACAGGAGCAGAACGUACAGAGAAUUCUCACAUCCCACAUACCCUCUAUCGUCCCCUCCCCAACCAGCCUCUCCCACAGCCCACACCCCUCGCCAGAGGGCUGUGUUUGUUAUAAGCCAUGAACCUACAGUGACACGUCAUCACCCGGAGUCCACAGCUGACCUCGGGGUUCACUCUUGGCGGUAUGGGCGGAUGUAUAAUGACCUGUAUCCAUCUGGAGGAGGGUCGGCCCUAAAUCCAAUGACGAGUGUCCUUAUGAGAGGAGAAGGCCCUGUGAAGAUGGAGGCAGGCUUUGGAAGGAUGUGUCUACAAGCCAAGGGAUGCCACGGCUAGCUGGCUGUCACCAGACCCUGGGAGAGAACGCUGGAACGAUUCUCCCUCAGCCUCCAGAAGGACCCCACCCUGCUGACACCUGGAUUUCAGACUCCUGGUCUCCAGAACUGAGAGAGGAUCAAUUUCUGUCGUCUGAAGCCACUCAGUUUGUGGGCAUGCGUUACGGUCACCCUAGGACACCGAAACAGGACGUGAUGAGGAAAGGGAGAUAAACACGUCAGUCAAGGUACAGCCUCCGUACAAGAGAGCCACACACGCGGCAAACCCGAAACCGUUUCUAGAGGUAGACCAGGGAAGACAACAUGUGUGCUGUUUAUCACAACAGGAAAACUAAACAACAAGGACAAGAAGGGAGAAGUGGCCACACGGCACAGAUAAAAAUGUGAGAAAUGCUAUAUUUCACAAUUUUAUCUGUUCUGCCACUCUGACUCAGUGAUCAAUGAGGAUCUGUCUUUUUUCCACCCAAAAAGAACAUGUUGCAUAAGCUCAGGCUUCCAGGGACCAGCGGAAAGCAGAAAACACCAUCUGAAGCUCUCCCCAGUCAGCUCAACGAGUGGCCCCCGUUCCCCAGACGGCGUCCGCGAAGCCGUAGAGAUGAGCUGAUGUCUGCUCACCCCGGGAGGGAGGCGGGGGCGCAGGUACUGACGGUGCCAGUUCAGGGGUUCAAGAGAAAAUGCCGGCAGGCGGCUUCAGCAAAGACUUAGAAUUUGUCGGCAUCAGUGCUCUUUCCCGGAGAAAAGCCUUCUUGGAAAUUCUGCGUUUUCUUAAGGAACACGAAGAACAUUUCCAAGGGCGUGUUAGGCCUCAGCCUUUCAGAACAACCCUGUUUGCUAAGCUUUGUGCCUCGCCCAUCUCUGCCAGUCAGCACCUGAAGGUGUCCCCAGGGCAGGGGAGGGAGGGAAUUUGAGAUCAGAGGGCCACCGUGGUGUUUGGGGACACUGGAAAUGACGGGUGGCCCUCCAUGCCCUGGACACCUGGGUCUGGGCUGUUGUCUCCUUCACAUGUGGUCCCUCCUGCUUUGCUUCAUCAGUGGCAGGACAGGGUUACCUCUGCAGCGAGCCCCACUGGGCCACGUCCACGGCAACCUUAAUAGAGAGGGGCAGCGCCAGUCUGACGGACAACCCACGUGUUCGGCAUCCAGGGACGCCACGAUGAAGUGCCCACCUCACACAGCGCUCCCUUCCCCCCGUGUCCUGAAACCCCCUCCUCUGGGGAGCCCCAGACAAUGCAUUGCUUCCUCCACGGUUCUUCCCCGAACACGCAGCCUGUGACCCUGUUACAAUACUUAGCGCACAGCCAGUGGUCCCGUCAGGAGACAGAAACCACACAGCUGUUUUAGCAGAGACAAUUUAAUAAAGAAGAAUGUAGCAGGAUUGCCAUCUGGGUAUAAAGUUAUUGGCACCUUGUUUAUAAAGGUCCUGUGAGAACCCCAAGGCAUCACGGGGUAGAACUGUAGGCAGCAGCUACCUCCUAAAGAGAAGGGGUUGGAGGGAUGAUAACGUGGAAGCCGGGAAGGGAGACCCCACGGUGCUCAACGUCUGACCUCUGGGGAGGAGACACCGGCCAGCCAAUGGGGUGGGUGUCUCUGAGGGGGACAGUGUCACUGAUUCUGCAAGUAAUGGAAGUAUGCAGACUGCAUCAACUGCGGUGUGAGAAGGAACAGCCACUGCUACAGUGAAGAAGUGUCACUGGGGAUGCUCCCAGAAACAGGGAGCAGACAGGAAGGACCCGUCCCUCCACCUCCAGCCCUGCAGCCUCCUCCGGCGUCCACUCCCGGCGGAGCCCCCCGGGGAACAGCUGGCGUGGUUUGCAGCAUCCCAGCCCCGGCUUCACAGGGCGGGCCGUGGAACUGAGGUUUGGAACCGGGAGCCCACAGCUUUAUCACUGGCACGGUCCUCUCCUUCGCUUCUCAGCUUCCAGACACACCUUUUACUCCUAUCUGAACUCCCCUGCAGAAACAGCAAGGACUUUGUGUGUCUGUCCAACAAGCUUCCCACAGCUAAUACCCUUCAUGCAGAUGAAGGCGUUCUCACCCUCUCCCCGACGUGAGGAGCUGCGGGGCCCACGCAUCUCGUGUCCAUCUUUGGGAGGUGUCACACUGCAGCUCUGGGCUCCAUCACAUACUUCCCAAAUCCAGUCACAGGCUGCACUGGUUCCCUACGGCUGCUGUUACAAAUUGCUGCAAAUUUAGUGGCUUCAGACGACACAGAUUUAUAUCUUGCAGCUCUGGAGCAGCUCAGAAGUCUGACCGGGGUCUGGCUGGGCUUAAAUUGCCAGGGCUGUGUUCCUUCUGGAGGCUCUUGGGGAAAAUGUAUUUCCAGCCUUUUCCAGCUUCUGGAGGCUGCCCCAUUUCUCGCCUCCUGGGCUCUUCCUCCAUCUUUAAAGGCAGAAAUACUCCAUCUUUCUCUCCACUCUUCUUUUCUGAAUCCCUAAGGUCUUCCCGGAGUCUGACACAGCAGGACGCUCAGUAAAUACAAGGCAGCGGAUUCUUAUAAGUGUGGCUCCGUGUGAGUCCUUCUUUUCCAGGAGAUUAUAAGCACCAGAGAACCAGGCUGUGUCUACAUCACCAAGAGGGCUGCCUCCAUCAAAUCCAGGCACGAUUGGACCUACGUGCCUGAAACAAGCAUAUCGAAGAUUAAUACGUGUUUUUCAAUUGGCUUAAAUUUUUUCGGUAAAGCAGUCAGCAUGUUAACCUCCCUUCUGUUAAAGAAAUGAUCAAGAAUUCAUACCCUCGUAAGAAUUAGUUCAUAAAUUCUCCAUCAAAGAGUAGAAUGGGAAAAGAAAGAGGGAUAGUGUGAAAGCACAAAGCAUGUUGUAGAGGGUUAAAUGGGGCCCCCACCCCAAAUAUGUCUAAAUCCUAACCCCCAUACUUGGGAACGAUGACCUUAUUUGGAAAUAGGAUUUUUGCAGAUGAAAUUAACUUCAGGGUCUCAAGAUGGGAUCGCCCUGGACUUAUGGUGGGUCCUAAAUCCAGGGAUGGGUGUCCUUAUAAUAACUGGAGAAGACACAGAGCCACGGUGGGGACGGUGACGUGAAGACAGAGGCAGAGAUUGGAGAGCUCCGUCUACCAGCCAGGGACCGCCAAGGGUCGCCGGCAACCGCCAGAAGCUGGAAGAGGCGAGGACGGAUUCACCCCUGGAGCCGCCAGCAGGAGCGCAGCCCUGCUGACACCUUAUUUGGGACUCUGGCCAGAGUUCUGGUGAGAGAAUAUGUUUCUGAUGUUGUUAAACCACCCAGUUUGUGGUUCUUUGUUACACCAGCCACAGGAAACGAAUGCACGUGCCUAGCGGGACAGUGGACCAGAUGAAAUGGCUCAAUGUGGGACCCUUCUGGGGGCCAUCAGGUAGCAGAGGGGGAAGUGAGGAGAGAGGGGCUCAGGAAGACACCAUAAAAAGGAGCAGGUGAGUGUCCCCAGGAAAUACCUACCCUUCACGAUUGUAUGCAGGGCAGUUCUUGGCGAUGGCUGACUGGCCAUCACAAGAGCCAAGGUGGACCCAGCUCUGGAUGGGGAGAGCCUGGCUCUGCGGUGGCCCCACUUUGGGCUGAGAAACUCUGUACCUAUAAGUUGGGUACAUGGUGGAACCCCUGGUCAAAGGAUGCCCGCCUCCAAGAGGAAAGGUUUUCAGGCUAAUUCAGCAGGUGAGGGUGGGCACGGGGUGGGAGACACUGCCUCUUCACGGUCUAUAGGAUCCGGUCGCUUAGGGCUCUUGGGACAGUGGAGGAAACACAAGUGUUCUCCCAGCAGGGUGGACCUCAGAAUGAAUACGCCCACAGCUUCAAAUACAGGAGAGCAGCACCUAGAAGCAUCCGGAAUGUUUUCUUUUGGUGAAGGAACAGGAAAGGAUCAGGAAAUUACAAGAAAAUGAAAGUGACACCAAAGCGGGUGGGGGAUAGAACAGUAAUCGGGGAAACGAUCACGUCCCGGGUCCCCAUUGAUCGGAAACAAUGGCCUGAGCUUCCGUGAACAAUCUGCAGCAACCCCGAGGAGAAUGGAAGUCGGGCUGUGUCGGUGGAGGACGAAUUCCAAGGAGACAACUUGACAGUUUCUGUCUGCAGACGCACGACUCCCCCGGAGAGCGAGGAGCGGGGCGGCAAUUACAGGAUUUGAACGUUGCUGCCGCAUUUGGGCACCAUGACCAACGGAAGCUUGGAGAGAAGACUUUGCCUUGGCUUCCUGGUGUGAGUAUAAAAAGUGGAGGAGAACGUGCUGGGAAGGUGCUCUGUUCUGCCGGGAGACCAUCGCCGGGCAGCCCCUGCCCACAGGCGAGUUGGGCGGCAAACACGUUUUUUUAACGUGACAACAUUUUCAACAAAAUUUUAACGUCACGUGUUGACAUGGUGCUAUGAAGCGCUGUCAUGGGAUUAAGAGGGAACUCAGAGGGCAGCCAUUGCAUGCUUGGUCCACAUCAGCAGUCACCCCGUAAGAGCCACGGAGAAGACAGCAAGUGGUGGCCCCCUUUUUACUUGUCUGCUCUCCACCUCCAAGGGCUGCAGGAUCUUGAACCUCGCGACAGAACCUUGUUCUGUGUUCUAGUAAUCUGUUACUGGGUAAGAACCACCCCCGAAAUGUAGUACCUUCAAACAGCAUCACUGAUUUUCCCUUCCAGGUGUGACUGGGGGUGAUGUGGUUGCAGCCAGCUGGUGGUUGUGCUGGGUUUUAUCAGAGGUUUCUUCCCUCGCACGGAUGGCGUUUGAUGCUGGCUGUUGGCUAGAACUCCAUCUUUCUCCAUGUGGCCUGGGCUUCCCCCCAGCAUGGCGGCUGGAUUCCGAGAGAGACGGGGAGAUGCAGGAGCUUGGUCGCCCCUGAAGAUCUAUCCUUCUGGCCUCAGAAGUCAGGCAACCCCACAUUUGCCACAUUCUGUUCGUUAAGAGCAAGUCAUUAAGAUGACCCUUAUUCAAGGGAUGGGAACAGGGCUCCAACUCUUGAUGGUGGGGUGUUGAGAAGAAUUUUCAAUGUUUUGGAGUCACCACCCUUUCCUUCUGGAUGUAGUGGAAGGAAGGAAGUGGGGUGGAUUGGCCCCUUAGAGAUUGCAGACAGAAUUCCGAAAACAGCCUCAUGGGAGUGGAGAGCCCACAGAGAUGGAACGUUUCCUGUUCACCUGUGAUCCAGGUCAGCAAGUCCCUGCCAGAGUCUCCCUGGGAAGACAGAUAUUAAACAUGCGACUGGAACAAAACUAACUCAACUGUUUUUAUAUUACUGCUUGAUGUGUGCACAUUCCACCAAUGCCUGCCUUCAGCUUCCCGGUGGGUAGAGAAGGAUUGCGAGGGAAAAGUCUGGGUUCACUGGUGUCUCCUUUUCCUUCUGUGUCAUCAUUUCCAGCAUAAAUGGUUGAGUGAUACAGAGAAGCCACAUGAGUAAGAAAUAUAUUGAUGGGAUUCUGUCAUGCACUGAGUGUGUCCCCAAAAUUCAUAUGGUGAAGACUGAUGCAAUGUGACUGCAUUUGGAGAUGGGGUCUUUAAAGAGGCCAUGAAGGUAAAAUGAAGUCCCUGGGGUCCUCAUAAGAAGAGGAGAUGAGGACACACACACGCACAAAGGGAUGACCAUGCAAGGACACAGAGAGGAGACGGCCAUCUACACGCCAAGGAGAGAGGCCUCAGGAGGAACCAGCCCCGCGACACCUGGGUCUUGGCUGUCCAGCCUCCAGGACUGGGAGACAGUACAUUUCUGUGGUUUAAGCUGCCCCGUCUGUGGUAUUUCGCUAUGGCAGCCCAAGGAGACCACGGAUCCUUGUUGUUCAUGUUCUUUGCACACCAUUGCCAUCGUUUUGCAUUUGAAGAGAGUUCUGGCUUAAAUGGAAAGCAUGGGCUCUGGGGCUGUGCCAUGCUUACUUGUCUGCAGACGUAGCACAUUUACCCUGAACUCUCGUUGAGUCUUGCAUCAUCGUGGGUCCCCCAGAAUUCCGUGCUCAUGGGCAUCAUAAACGCUAUACGAGAAUGGGACAACCCAGGAUGGGGUGGACAUCCACACUGCUCACAUCUCCCUUGUCACACACUAGCUCCGCUGUCACAUUGGACUUUAGUUACAAACACGAGUUCAAAGUCAAAUGACUAAGAAUUUCAAGACAGCGACAAACAGAGCAUUAAACACAGGCUGGGGCCCUCUAAGCAGGGGCCGUGUGUGACCACAUGGGUUUCACACCCGGGAGGCCGGCUCUGCAUCCUGGCUGUGAGAACAGAAGCGCCAAGACCUGAAUGCCCUCUUGUGCCCGGGGAGGGAAGUCAUAGCUCCUGGAGGAGGCUGAGAAGCAGGGCAGGACAAAACUGGGGGGACCACGAGGAAACAGAAAGGGAACACAGAGUGACCGCCCUCCCACGCUCUGCUCUGUGCUUCCGGCUGCCGGAGCCACUUUCUUUGAAGCACUUAGAGUUGGGCCUCCUGGUUCCUGCAGCGUGAAAAGUCCCAAGGGACUGACCUGGUCCCCAGGCCUCACUCUCCCCAUCUGUGGAGUGGGGAUGGCCGGGCCCCGCCCUGCCUGACAGUGGAAGGCUGUGGAGGUACUCUGGAAAAGCCAAAAUGUGGCAGACAUGGCAGGAAUCAUUGUGCACAAUCUAAAGUGAAGGGUCUAUCUUCAUCACGUUGUCACCAUGACCAUUAUCUGAACGAGCAGGGGGUGCGCUUCAUAAAACAACCCUUUUGUUCAUAAGGUAACAAUCUCUUUCAACUCCACAGGAAGAUGUUCCUAUACCAAGCGUGGGCUGCCCUUCUUGGCGUAUAUGAGAGAGACCCCUGGUUUCUUCCAGCUGCUGUCCAGGGAUCAUUCUGGGAAAAUGCUCAGACCACAAGCUUGGUGCUUGAGAACGCCCAGGGAUCUGAGAUCCUAGACUAAAAUUCUCUUUUGCGUUUCUAAGUUUAUGCUACCCUGGGCAGCUUCCUUUUAAGGACCUGAAGCCAAAGGGCAAAGACUGUUUUGUUAGUUUUCUGGGGCUGUCAUAACAACUUCCCUCAAACUGCGUGCCUAGAACAACAGGACUUUAUUCUCUCCCAGUUCUGGAGGCUGGAAGUCUGAAAUCGAGGUGUCACAGGGCCACGUUCCCUCCGGAGGCUCCAGGGGAGGGUGCUUCCUGCCUCUCCCAGCUUCUGCGGGCCCCAGGCGUUCCCGGGCUUGUGGCCGCAUGGCUCCCGUCUCUGCUUCCACCAUCACCAGGCCUUCCCUUUGUGUCUGUGUUUUCCUCUCCAUCUCUUAUACUGGUCAGUGGGUUUCGAGCCCAGGCAGGUGAUCCAGGAUGAUCUCAUCUCAAGAUCCUUAACUUAGUCCCGUCUACAAAGACCCUUUCCCCAAAGAAGGUCACAUUUGCAGCUUCCAAGGGUUGGAAUGUGGACUUAACUUUUUGGGGGUCACUAUUCAACCUGCCACAACAGUGACUCGCUGAUGGAUGCUCACAGAAGCCCUGUAAGGAGGACCCCACUCCACUCCCCAGAUCCGCUCCGGCCCCGCCGCUGGUCUCGGCCAAGCCAUGCUGGGCACACUGUGAGGCCUCUCGGGCGAUGUCAGAAACAGCUGUGCUGAGUGUUGCUGGGUAACCCUGCCGGGACAGGGCUUCCCGGGAAUUGCUGCUGGCUCUUAGAAAGGCUUUUACCCACCUCUUCCUUUCUAAAUGCCGCUCAUCAGCCCUCAGCUUUUAGGGACGGCUGCUAAGCAGAGAUGAAGCUGCAAAGUGGUUUCUCAACUCCGCCCCACCAACGAUUAGGGCCGGUCCUUCUCUGUGGUGGGGGCUGUCUUGUGCCUUGUAGGAGGAUCAGCAGCUGCCCUGGCCUUGACCCACGAGACGCCAGGAGCGCCCCGAACCGUGACAAUCAAAAAUGUCUCCAGAUAUCACCGAAUGUCCCCUGGUGGGGGCAGGAUUCCCCCUCCCGUUGAGAACCACUGGCUGCACAAGGAAUGAUAGAAACAGCCUGGCAUCCUGGAGUCGGAGGGAGGGACCAGCACUGCCCAGUCCAGGGACCAUGUGCAUGUUCCAGAAUGUUCUGAGCUUUGGGUUUCCCUAAUGGGGAUAUGAAUACUCCAAGGGUUUAUUGUGAUCGUAACAGGCACUGUGCGUACAAAGGCUGUCACAAAGAAAGCAGGUACUCCACAAAUGCAUUGCAAACUGUGAAUUUGUGUAUUUUCCAAAGUAGGCCGUGUGUAUGCUGGCUUCAUGUGCCUACCCCUCACACAGCGCCAGGCUCCGUGCCCCAUACCAAGGCACCCUACACCCGACACCAAAGGUGCUCACUGGGACCUAUCACCCUGUGUUCUCGAUCGUCUUGUUGAGGGGUGGCCCCGACUCGCCGGUCCCAGACAUCUGGAGGCCUGGCCCCCUGGCUCCAGCUUUGAGAUUUAUGGUGUCCCUUUCUCCAUGCCACGCCACGGGACAUGCAAGGGGCUGAAGAGGAAGCUGAGAAUGGCCUGAGGGGGCUGGAGUUACCUUCCAAUCCUGUGGCUGCCUGACGGCCCCUCCCCAAACUCCUUUUCAAUUUGCAUUUUGAGAAGAUGUUUCUGGAAUGUCGCAGGCUGGCUGGGAGCCACUCUCGUCAGCGUGAAUAACCAGAGUCGUCCUGGGAACGGGCCUCUACCCAAGCAGCACGGGAGACGGGCAGAAGCCUUCUGACCAGGCCAUUCAGGACGACAUUGGACUUGAGCCACAUGCAUCUUAAAUGUCCUCACGCCACUCCAGGGACCGUGGGACACCACGGAUCUGUGUCUUCCAUUGUUCACUCUGGUGGCUGAGUCAAGAAAGGAGAUAGAAUUGUGGAACAUUUCAGGAUUCCUUAAAAAAUCCACUGCAUUGAGAUGUGAUCGGUGUUUUUUCCCUUUUUUUUUCCCUUGCACAGAUAGCAUGAGAUCUACUUUUUUAACAGAAUGUUAUGUGCACAAUAUACUAUUGUUAACUAUUGGCACAGUGAGGUACAGCUGAUCCAGAACAUAUUUGUCUUGUGGAACUGAAACUUCAUACCACUGAACAACUGCCCAUUUAUCCCUCUGGCAGCCGGUAGAAACAGUCUGCUCUCUGUCUCUGCAAGUUUGACUGUUUUAGAUUCCUCAUCCAAGUGGAAUUGUGCAGCCUCGUUCCUUCUGUGACUAGCUUAUGUCACUUAGCAUAAUCUUCUCAGGGGUCAUCCACGUUGAUGAACCUAUGGCAGGAGUCCCUUCUUUUUCAUGGCUGAGUAAUAUUCCAUUGCAUGGGUAAACCACCUUUUCUUUGUCCAUUCAUUCGUUGGUGGGCAUUUUGGUCAUUUCUUUGCUAUUCUGAAGAAUGCUGCAAUGCAUAUGGGGGUGCAGAUAUCUCUUCAAGGUCCUGAUUUGAAUUCUUUUCAAUAAAUACCCAAAAGUGGGAUUGCUGG